UUAGGGUUCUACCAUACAUGUCCAUUAUGGUUCCAUCAUUCUCUAUGUUCAACUACGUUAGAAGCAUGUAAAUGCAAACAAACUAAGGUUCACAUGUAAUUUAACCCUACUAUGCAUGAAUGACUAUACAUCAAUAUGCUCAACAAAAAGGUGAAAUAGACAUAAAGGGAAAUUCGAUGAUUCCGGUGUGCACCCCCCACCUUGAGUGGUAGUAGAUGAAGAAUAUGAUGACUCCCGAACUUUACGAACGCCGAAUCCGCGUCCUAUAACCAAAAUAGUGCCAAAUUAGGCCCUAUAUACACAAACUAUACUUAGACAUUUUCGUAACGUCGAACGGAGUUAUCCAACGC
rnacentral:lncRNA from 1 species